rnacentral:lncRNA from 1 species
GAGACAAUAUUGAAUGCUUAAGUAUUAAAAAAUAUAAAUUAAGUAAAGAAGUAUUGAAAAAAAAAAUGUGAUGACUAAUAGAAUAAGUAAAUAUUUAUAAUAUGUUAAUAUUAUCUUCAAGAGAUAAUAAGUAUAAGUGGGACAUACAUGUGUAAAAACCAUUAUUAUUGUUGUGAGAUUAAGGACAAAGGUAAAGUUUGUCGUAAAUUGCGUCAUGUAAGUAAGAUACUUUUUUUUUUUCAAGUUAUACACAUCCCAC